rnacentral:rRNA from 1 species
GGGGGAUAAGAAAAAAUUAAUAAAUUAAUUAUUAUUAAAAAAAUUUUUAAGAUUGAAUUAUUUUAAUGGGGGGUUAAAGUAAUUUUUAUUGAAAAAAUUUAUAAUUUUAUAGUUUAUUUGUAUUGUGAAGGAAUUUUGAAAUAAUAUGAAAUUUAUUUAUAUUAAAAGUAAAUUUUAUUUAUUGUAUCUUGUGUAUCAGAGUUUAUUAAAAAUAUUUUUAUUAUUAAGGUUUCUCGAAUUUAAAAGAGUUAAUUAAUUAAUAAUAAGUUAUUGUAGUAUAAAUAUUUUAAAUAAUUAAUUUGAAAUGAAAUGUUAUUCGUUUUUAAAUAUAUCUAGUUUUUAUAGAAAAAAAUUUAAUUUUUUAUUAAUUAAAAUUUUUAUUUAUUAAGUUAAUAUAAAUUUUAUUUUUAUUGAAAUAAUUUAAGGGAUAAUCUUUAAGUUAAAUUUUUAUAAUAUUUUUUUUUAUAAUAAAAAUUAUAUAAUUUAUAUUGUUAAUAAAUUUUAUUUUAUUAUAAAUAAUUUUAUUAAAAAAAAAAUUUAAUUUUAUUUAAUUUUUUAUAUAAAAAUAAAUUUUAAUUUGAUAAAUUAAGUUAUAAUGAUAAAAUUAGUAAAAUUAUUUAUUUAAUGAUAAGAACAUUUGAUUUAAAAUUAAUUAUAAAAAAGGAAUUCGGCAAAUGUAUAUAUUCACUUGUUUAUCAAAAACAUGUCUUUUUGUUAAUAAUUUAAAGUCUAAUCUGCCCACUGAUAUAAUAUUAAAGGGCUGCAGUAUUUUGACUGUACAAAGGUAGCAUAAUCAUUAGUCUUUUAAUUGAUGACUUGUAUGAAGGAUUGGAUGAGAUAUAAGCUGUCUCUUUUGUAAGUAAGUUGAAUUUAAUUUUUUAAUUAAAAAGUUAAAAUUUUUUAAAAAGACGAGAAGACCCUAUAGAGUUUUAUAGUUUAUUUUAUAAAAAUUUUUUUAUUAUAUUUUUAUGUUUAUAAAUUAUUUUGUUGGGGUGAUAGAAAAAUUUAAUUAACUUUUUUUUUUAUUUACAUAAAUAAGUGAUUAAAUGAUCCAAUUUUAUUGAUUAUAAGAAAAAAUUACCUUAGGGAUAACAGCGUAAUUUUUUUUUUUAGUUCGAAUAAAAAAAAAAGUUUGCGACCUCGAUGUUGGAUUAAGAUAAAAUUUAAAUGUAGAAGUUUAAAAUUUUGAUCUGUUCGAUCAUUAAAAUCUUACAUGAUCUGAGUUCAAACCGGUGUGAGCCAGGUUGGUUUCUAUCUUUUAAUUAUUAUAAUAUUUUAGUACGAAAGGAUUAAAUAUUACAAUUAUAUUGAUUAUAUUGAAUUUUAUUAAAUUUUAAUUAAAUUUUUAAUAUUUGUAGUUAAUUUAAACUAUUUUGGCAGAGUAAAUGUGUU